rnacentral:rRNA from 1 species
GACGAACGCUGGCGGCGUGCUUAACACAUGCAAGUCGAACGGAAAGGCCCUGCUUUUGUGGGGUGCUCGAGUGGCGAACGGGUGAGUAACACGUGAGUAACCUGCCCUUGACUUUGGGAUAACUUCAGGAAACUGGGGCUAAUACCGGAUAGGAGCUCCUGCUGCAUGGUGGGGGUUGGAAAGUUUCGGCGGUUGGGGAUGGACUCGCGGCUUAUCAGCUUGUUGGUGGGGUAGUGGCGUACCAAGGCUUUGACGGGUAGCCGGCCUGAGAGGGUGACCGGCGACAUUGGGACUGAGGUACGGAGCAGACUCCUACGGGAGGCAGCAGUGGAGAGUAUUGCGCAAUGGGCGGAAGCCUGAGGCAGCAACGCCGCGUGCGUGAUGACGGCCUUCGGGUUGUAAACCGCUUUCGCCUGUGACGAAGCGUGAGUGACGGUAAUGGGUAAAAAAGCACCGGCUAACUACGUG